GUUGUUCUCUGGAACCUGCCACACUUAAUGCUUGCUGCCCUAGAGACCCAGCCAUUGGAUCCUACCCUGAAGCAGGUCAAAAGAAAUGGAGGUCUAUGAAUAUGUUCCUCCCCUAAAACUGGCUGACCAGUUUGUACUUCCUGCUCCAGUCCCUUUGAACUCAUUUGCAUACCACAGGCUUUCUAUGCAUGCUCUGUUGCACAUGAUUCUACUUAACUUCCUGCAUCAUUGUGCGUCUCAUGUGAACAGUACUGGAAACAGAGGUACUCCACACUGUCACCUCCAGCAGUCUGGGAAGUUCUCUUAAUCUUUUAGGGGCCUUGGGUAAAACUGGAUCCUUGGCUUCAACUAGGAAAAAAAAAAAUCAAGAUGAGCCAAUAUGAAAGAAGCUGUCAUGAAAAAUGGAAAGAAUACUGCUCGAGGAAGAGUGAGGCAUGAAGAAAGCAUGGGAGAAGUUUUUAACACAGAUUCUAACCAUGAAUGUGGAAAGAAAGUGACAUGCUUGGGGAAAUGAGAUAUACUUGAGCAUGGGCACGGGCUUCUCAAGGGAGAGUUGCCAUUAAACGCCUCAGCGGUAGGUAUAUUUGCUAUUUUGGUAGCUUUCAAUUUACAUCUGAGAUGGCUGCUGAGAUUUUUUUUCCCUCCAUUUCUUACUUUGUGUGUGUGCAUGUGAGUGCAUGUGUGCUACGAAUGCACCAAGUGCCUGCAGAAGCCAGAAGAGGGCAUUGAUUGGAUCCCCUAGAGCUGGAGUUACAAACUGUUGUGAACCAUCGUGGGGGAGCUGGAACUUGAAC
rnacentral:lncRNA from 1 species